AACAUAUUACCGAAGCUGUGGAUUGUCCUUUGGACAAUGGUAGGAGAGCGUUCUAAGGGCGUUGAAGCAUGAUCGUAAGGACAUGUGGAGCGCUUAGAAGUGAGAAUGCCGGUGUGAGUAGUGAAAGACGGGUGAGAAUCCCGUCCACCGAUUGACUAAGGUUUCCAGAGGAAGGCUCGUCCGCUCUGGGUUAGUCGGGUCCUAAGCUGAGGCCGACAGGCGUAGGCGAUGGAUAACAGGUUG
rnacentral:rRNA from 1 species